GGCUGCGUCGGGUGGCCUCAGUCAGUGUCGCUUCAGCAGCGGCCGUAUAGGGCGGGAGCCCGGGGAGCUCGGCUCGCGGGAGGAAGCGCCGCCGCCGCCGCCCUGUCGCGGGGCUCCCCUGGGGCGGGGGAGGGGACAGACCCGAGCCCCGCCCGCCGGCAGCGCUGGGCUCCUCGUUCGUGCGGAUUAACCGGCCUGCGCCCGUGUCCCCGCCAGCCACCGCGGAACUCCCGGGGGAGGAGGCGGGCAGCGGCGGCAGCCUGCUCCCCUCAUUUGCCCCCGGGGUUCUCGGGCUGCAUGGAUUUCCACCUGAGCUGACUGGUGCUCCAUGUCACAGCCCCUCUUCCCAAUCUUGAAGCAGGCGGCAGGAAGGAGAAGCGACCCCAUGUAGCAGAAGGAAGGUCAGCCUGCAGCCAGCCACCCUCCUGCUUCCUCCCUCCCUGCACUGCACAGACACAAGGGCCAGUUUCAUAAAGCUGAAAAUUAUGAGCCAGAUCAGCUGGGAGGAAGAAUUUAAUCAGAAAAAUGGGAAUCAUCUAAGAACACUUUACUAGAUACCCAAAAAGCCACAAUCAAGAGAGAAUGUAGGAGCAAGAUUGUAUAAUAGUACUAUAAGAAUAAAGGUACUAAUGUAUGUCUUGAUUUUAUCCUGCCAGCCACCCUUUUUGAACAGCAGAAAGGAAUGACCCUCUGGGACACUGGUAGAAAUGCAUCUGACAGACUGCCAGUGUCUGUACUGACCCUGAGCAGGAACAGACCAGAACAAUCCUUAUGACUGAUUAUGGUCACCCUUUCAUUUUAGGAUAAGUUAUAAUGUCUACUAUGGUUUUCUAUAUGUAUUACAAAUUAGGCACUCUAGUUAAAUAUACAUUUCUUUGUUUGAAGGUUUAGUAAGUAAGAGACAGGAUCUUGUAUUGUGUCUAUGUUAAGGAGAUUAGAGGAACAUUGAAGGCCUGGGGCCCCAGUGUGAAUUGUUUUGAUUAUAAGAUUUAGGAAGGCUUAAUUUACAAUGUCUUUUGCUCAAUAUAAAAUGCGGCUGUUUGUAUUCUCAGAGGUCUCUGUAAAAGCCUGUUUGUGUGAAUGAGGAAUGUAUACAUCAGGAAAAAAUAAGGUGUGAAGGCCAUUGUUAUAGCCAAAUGGCCAAGGAAGAAGGAGUGGAGAGCCUUAAUGACACCAUCAACACACAUCCAUAAUAAAGGAAGGGCAGAUUGAUGACCCUGAGGUAAGGCUGGCACCCCUAAAGACAAUUGAUUAAAUCAAAUCCGGGACAGGAUGACCCCCUCGGAGAUGUUUUAGAAUGUUUACAUCAAAGGAUAAACGCCGCAGGUGCAGAUCUUGGUGGUAGUAGCAAAUAUUCAAACGAGAACUAAUUAAGAAGUAACCCGGUCAGAAACUGACACAGCAAAAUCCAUAGAUUUCAACAGAGAAAAAAGACUAUAAGAACAGGGUGCUUUGCCAUGGGACUUUGGGUUCAUCUUGCCACUACUCCAGGAGCAUCAGAU